rnacentral:lncRNA from 1 species
UGUUCAUCAACAUCGGUUGAAGCUCGUCUUGGUUUGGUUUUUCUGAAUUUAUUUUGGUCGUGAGUGGUCGAAUUACUUUGACGUUUAAAAAUUAGGGCUUGCAAUUAUGUAGAUUUUUUAUAUGUGGUGUCGAGCAUUCUGAAUCUUUCCAGUAUUAUGAUCUUGGGCUUCACAUGUAUAUGAUUGAAGAUGAAGAUAUAUAUGAAUCUUUAUGUAUUUCCUUGUUGUAUAUAGAACUGCGAUUAUUGUUGUAGUGUGAUUUACUGAUUUUGGAUGUUCAACUUUUCUCUAGUCAACUUGUUGUCUGAUGAAAUGCCUCUUAAUUAAUGGUUUAUUAGUUUGGAUGUUAACGCCUGUAAUGUGCAAAUUAUUCAAUCUUAUGUGGUUAUGAUAAUACCUGUGCAAAGUGUUGCAGCUGCUCAAACUUCAAAACUGCUUUAA